AUGUACCACUCGUACACUCCGGUUCCUGUGCGCCGCCCGCACCCGCCUGACGACUGCUCGCUUGCGGAUGGUCAGCU
rnacentral:sRNA from 1 species